ACUCCUACGGGAGGCAGCAGUGAGGAAUAUUGCGCAAUGGGGGAAACCCUGACGCAGCAACGCCGCGUGGGUGAAGAAGGCCUUCGGGUCGUAAAGCCCUUUCGGACGGGACGAACGCUCCGCGGUGACAACCCGCGGAGUCUGACGGUACCGUAAGAAGAAGCACCGGCUAACUCCGUGCCAGCAGCCGCGGUAAUACGGAGGGUGCAAGCGUUGUUCGGAAUUACUGGGCGUAAAGCGCGUGUAGGCGGCCUUGCAAGCCAGACGUGAAAGCCCUCGGCUUAACCGGGGAAGUGCGUCUGGAACUGCUCGGCUCGAGUACGGGAGAGGGAGGCGGAAUUCCCAGUGUAGAGGUGAAAUUCGUAGAUAUUGGGAGGAACACCGGUGGCGAAAGCGGCCUCCUGGACCGAUACUGACGCUGAGACGCGAAAGCGUGGGGAGCAAACAGGAUUAGAUACCCUGGUAGUCCACGCGUGUAAACGAUGGGCACUAGGUGUGGGGGGUAUCCACUCCUCCCGUGCCGCAGCUAACGCACUAAGUGCCCCGC
rnacentral:rRNA from 1 species